rnacentral:rRNA from 1 species
UACGUAGGGGGCAAGCGUUGUCCGGAAUCAUUGGGCGUAAAGAGCGCGUAGGCGGCCCUGUAAGUCCGCUGUGAAAGUCGAGGGCUCAACCCUUGAAUGCCGGUGGAUACUGCAGGGCUAGAGUCCGGAAGAGGCGAGUGGAAUUCCUGGUGUAGCGGUGAAAUGCGCAGAUAUCAGGAGGAACACCGAUGGCGAAGGCAGCUCGCUGGGACGGUACUGACGCUGGGGCGCGAAAGCGUGGGGAGCAAACAGG